GGAACUUCACUUUGUAGUCGUUAUUUAUACAAGGUAAAUCAUGCUAAUCUUUUAGUCUUGUAGAGUUCUUAUAUAUACUGUUUUGCAUAUGUUUUCUUGGAGGCUCUCAUAUGUUUUUAUUGUUUGUCAGAGUCACCAUGCUUUUUGCAUAAUAUGCUGGAUAUGGUUUUGGCUCUUGGAGGGUGAGUUCAUGAUUGGAGAAGAAGGCUAAGUAUAUAUUCAAGCGAUGAAAGAAGUAGAGGCAUUAUAAGCCGGUAGCAAUUAUCAAUUACUUUUGAUUAUGUGGAUCAAUGUGACGACAAGCUGGAUGCUGGUUUUAGUACCUCAAUGUACUGAUUCAUCUAUCAUGGGGGGCGAAUACUAGUUGUGUCAUCAUUUUUUUGACUUUUAUAACUAUCUUUUCUACUCUCCGACAAUCGCAGGGAGGUAAAGGAAGCUCAUUUGCUCUCACUUCUCUCAUUGUGCAUGGUGAACUUGUUGCUUCUGGAUUAAAUGAGCUUGAAUUUGGUGGAGACAUUAUGGGGAUUGAGUUAUAUGGCGAUCUUGAAUUGUUCUUGC
rnacentral:lncRNA from 1 species